rnacentral:rRNA from 1 species
GACGAACGCUGGCGGCGUGCUUAACACAUGCAAGUCGAACGGAAAGGCCCUGCUUUUGUGGGGUGCUCGAGUGGCGAACGGGUGAGUAACACGUGAGUAACCUGCCCUUGACUUUGGGAUAACUUCAGGAAACUGGGGCGAAUACCGGAUAGGAGCUCUUGCUGCAUGGUGGGGGUUGGAAAGUUUCGGCGGUUGGGGAUGGACUCGCGGCUUAUCAGCUUGUUGGUGGGGUAGUGGCUUACCAAGGCUUUGACGGGUAGCCGGCCUGAGAGGGUGACCGGCCACAUUGGGACUGAGAUACGGCCCAGACUCCUACGGGAGGCAGCAGUGGGGAAUAUUGCACAAUGGGCGGAAGCCUGAUGCAGCAACGCCGCGUGCUGGAUGACGGCCUUCGGGUUGUAAACCGCUUUCGCCUGUGACGAAGCGUGAGUGACGGUAAUGUGUAAAGAAGCACCGGCUAACUACGUG